GACGAACGCUGGCGGCGUGCUUAACACAUGCAAGUCGUACGGUAAGGCCCUUUCGGGGGUACACGAGUGGCGAACGGGUGAGUAACACGUGAGUAACCUGCCCACAACUUUGGGAUAACGCUAGGAAACUGGUGCUAAUACUGGAUAUGUGCCCCUGCUGCAUGGUGGGGGUUGGAAAGCUCCGGCGGUUGUGGAUGGACUCGCGGCCUAUCAGCUUGUUGGUGGGGUAGUGGCCUACCAAGGCGGCGACGGGUAGCCGGCCUGAGAGGGUGACCGGCCACAUUGGGACUGAGAUACGGCCCAGACUCCGACGGGAGGCAGCAGGGGGGAAUAUUGAACAAGGGGCGCAAGCCGGAUGCAGCAACGCCGCGGGCGGGAUGACGGCCUUCGGGUUGUAAACCGCAUUCAGCAGGGACGAAGCUUUUUGUGACGGUACCUGCAGAAGAAGCACCGGCUAACUACGUG
rnacentral:rRNA from 1 species